rnacentral:rRNA from 1 species
UAUGAAGGGUGCAAGCGUUACUCGGAAUUACUGGGCGUAAAGCGUGCGUAGGUGGUGAGUUAAGUCUGAUGUGAAAUCCCCGGGCUCAACCUGGGAAUGGCAUUGGAUACUGGCUCGCUAGAGUGCGGUAGAGGGUGGUGGAAUUCCCGGUGUAGCAGUGAAAUGCGUAGAGAUCGGGAGGAACAUCUGUGGCGAAGGCGGCCACCUGGACCAACACUGACACUGAGGCACGAAAGCGUGGGGAGCAAACAGG